rnacentral:rRNA from 1 species
GUACGGGGGGAGCAAGCGUUGUUCGGAUUUACUGGGCGUAAAGGGCGCGUAGGCGGUAGCACAAGUCAGUUGUGAAAUCUCCGGGCUUAACUCGGAAAGGUCAACUGAUACUGUGCGACUAGAGUGCAGAAGGGGCAACUGGAAUUCUCGGUGUAGCGGUGAAAUGCGUAGAUAUCGAGAGGAACACCUGCGGCGAAGGCGGGUUGCUGGGCUGACACUGACGCUGAGGCGCGAAAGCCAGGGGAGCGAACGGG